UACAGAGGGUGCAAGCGUUAAUCGGAAUUACUGGGCGUAAAGCGUGCGUAGACGGUUAUUUAAGUCAGGUGUGAAAGCCCCGGGCUCAACCUGGGAAUUGCAUUCGAGACUGAAUAGCUAGGGUACGGUAGAGGGAAGCGGAAUUUCCGGUGUAGCGGUGAAAUGCGUAGAUAUCGGAAGGAACAUCAGUGGCGAAAGCGGCUUCCUGGACCAGUACCGACGUUCAGGCACGAAAGCGUGGGGAGCA
rnacentral:rRNA from 1 species